rnacentral:rRNA from 1 species
GAGGAAGUAAAAGUCAUAACAAGGUUUCCGUAGGUGAACCUGCGGAAGGAUCAUUAGAGAUGCCGAAAGGCUUUCCAAACACCCGUGCAAUCCCGGUCGUCCUCCCCUCGUGGGGGGUUCCGACCGUCUCACACACAAANGUAUGUCCACCGAACGUGAACCACUGUAAUUUUGAAACAACUUUCAACARCGGAUCUCUUGGCUCUCGCAUCGAUGAAGAACGCAGCGAAAUGCGAUAAGUAAUGUGAAUUGCAGAAUUCAGUGAAUCAUCGAAUCUUUGAACGCACCUUGCGCCUUUUGGUAUUCCGAAAGGCAUGCCUGUUUGAGUGUCAUGCAAACUCAACCCCCCUGGGUUUCUUGCCUGGGGGACGUUGGACUUGGGCCCUUGCCUYGCUCCCCGCUUGGCUGGCCUCAAAURCGUCAGUGGGAUCGUCGGACGUCGUAAGCACUCGCCGACCGCCNGCUCACAACACCCCUUUACGNUGCACCUCUGGCCUCAAAUCAGGUAGGACUACCCGCUGAACUUAAGCAUAUCAAUA